GACGAACGCUGGCGGCGUGCUUAACACAUGCAAGUCGAACGGAAAGGCCCUGCUUUUGUGGGGUGCUCGAGUGGCGAACGGGUGAGUAACACGUGAGUAACCUGCCCUUGACUUUGGGAUAACUUCAGGAAACUGGGGCUAAUACCGGAUAGGAGCUCCUGCUGCAUGGUGGGGGUUGGAAAGUUUCGGCGGUUGGGGAUGGACUCGCGGCUUAUCAGCUUGUUGGUGGGGUAGUGGCUUACCAAGGCUUUGACGGGUAGCCGGCCUGAGAGGGUGAACGGGCACAAUGGGACUGAGAGACGGACCAGAAGCCAACGGGAGGCAGCAGUGGGGAAUAUUGCAGAAUGGGCGGAAGCAUGAUGCAGCAACGCCGCGUGCGGGAUGACGGCCUUCGGGUUGUAAACAGAUUUCGCCUGUGACGAAGCGUGAGUGACGGUAAUGGGUAAAGAAGCACCGGCUAACUACGUG
rnacentral:rRNA from 1 species